CCUACGGGAGGCUGCAGUGAGGAAUAUUGGUCAAUGGCCGGAAGGCUGAACCAGCCAAGCCGCGUGAAGGACGAAGGUGCCAAGCAUUGUAAACUUCUUUUGUCAAGGGACAAAAUCAGGCUCGAGAGCCUGACCGAGGGUACUUGAAGAAAAAGCAUCGGCUAACUACGUGCCAGCAGCCGCGGUAAUACGUAGGGGGCAAGCGUUAUCCGGAUUUACUGGGUGUAAAGGGAGCGUAGACGGCGAUGCAAGUCUGAAGUGAAAGGCGGGGGCCCAACCCCCGGACUGCUUUGGAAACUGUAUGGCUGGAGUGCAGGAGAGGUAAGUGGAAUUCCUAGUGUAGCGGUGAAAUGCGUAGAUAUCACGAAGAACCCCGAUUGCGAAGGCAGCCUGCCGCAGCGUUACUGACGCUGAAGCUCGAAAGCGCGGGUAUCGAACAGGAUUAGAUACCCUGGUAGUC
rnacentral:rRNA from 1 species